rnacentral:lncRNA from 1 species
GAUUUUAACUGUACCAUAAAAUCUCCAACAGUCAUGUUCCCUUGACGAUUGUGUAAUCCUUCUCAUAUAUAUUCCCUAACAUUAGGAAAUGACAGCUAUUCCUCCACAACAUUCCAUAACAUCACCAAAUUUUUCCAUCUCGUAAAAGGGGCAUCUAUAGAACUAUAGAAAAAAUUCCAAUUAUCUAACAAUGUUACUUUAUACAAGUUACUAUAAUGUUUCCAACUAUCAACAAGUCAUUUAGGUGAUUAGUCCCAAAACUAGUUAUCAAGCACUCUCUAACUAUAAUGAGGUAUAGACUAGCCUCCUUUCAUUUUCAGUGGUUUCUUACUAGUCACGUUCACAAAGUUAUGAGUGUGAAAAUGCUCGAGUUCACUUUCACCUUCAAAACUCCUUUAGCAUCCACAUAAGGUUCUACUUUAGAAGAGUUAGAAAACACUCACGACUUUCACAUGAAAGCACACAAAACAAUUAGUCAAACUAUUUUGCUCAAGAGAUAGACGAAAUAUUGAGUCUUUAAGACUCCUAAUAGGUUUAGUACUACCAAAAUCAACACCUGAUCAGCUUAUGACACCUCAACUCACACAGUUCAAUCUAAGAUCAACUGUGCUCUGAUACCACAUUGUAAAAAACCUAAUAUUUAAUAGUGAGAGUGUCUUUUCUUUCAAAAUAACUUCUCUAAUAAAAAUAUGAUAAAAUGUCUUCCUUUAAAAAAUACUUGUAAAAAAAUUUCCUAUUCCAAUGAAACUUUUUUCAAAAGUCUUUGCAAAUAAGUUCGACGACCUACUUAAAAGGUAAAUGAUAGCUUUCAAAAUAAAACAUAUAUUUUUAAAAGUAAACUUACAACGAAUUAAAUACAAAUAUAAAGGUUUCAAAACUAACACUUUAACUACCCCUAAGCUAAUCAUUACAACUCUAAACUAGGACGUCAGGGAACUAGAGACCCACCGGUGACACCAAGCCGAAAGUAUUUGGCCCAUAUCCAAGUUUUCACACCACUAUGCUUCCACCAAGUCGUAGUCUCUACAUAAUUUGAUCCACAAAAACCGGAGGCAUUUAGCCUAGUCCACAAUAAUAGAAAGUGUUACAUAAGAAAAGGGUUUGAUUCCUCUAAAUUCUCUAGUACCUUUGUUUCUUAGUUCACUAGCAAGACAAUAGAGAGACCAAACUUUUUCGUUCUCUAACCUUUCUCAAAAUCUCACUUGAGCUUGGUGUAAAAUCCACUUUUUUCUUCAAAACUCACUCACCAACACAAGAAAAAAAACUACAGUGGAUGACAGAUAGAAGGGAAAGGCUAUUAGAAGCUUCUAAAAAGAGGGAGGGAGUGUUUGCUUUCUAUUCAAAGGAAAUGAGGAAAAUUGUGGCCAUUCAUUUGAAAGAGGGUGAUGUUUUCUACUUCAUUUUUGGACACUCAUUUAAUUUAAGGUAAGGUGAGGUGGCUUCAUGAGAACAACAUAUACUUCACUAGUAAAAUAUCUUACUAUUGGAAUUAAAAUAUCUACCCUAAUUUAGCUCAGUUUACAAGUAAAUCUUAUCACAAUAUACAGCUCAUAAAAUAUUUAUCGAUAAUUAUAAUUAUGACAAAAAUAAUUUAAUUAUUAAAAUAAUCACAUUUAAUAGUCUUU